rnacentral:rRNA from 1 species
UACGAAGGGGGGCUAGCGUUGUUCGGAAUCACUGGGCGUAAAGGGCGCGUAGGCGGCUUUAUAAGUCGGGGGUGAAAGCCUGUGGCUCAACCACAGAAUUGCCUUCGAUACUGUAGAGCUUGAGACCGGAAGAGGUAAGUGGAACUGCGAGUGUAGAGGUGAAAUUCGUAGAUAUUCGCAAGAACACCAGUGGCGAAGGCGAGUCCCUGGACAACUUCUGACGCUGAGGCACGAAAGCUAGGGGAGCAAACAGG